UGACAAAUAGACCGCGCACACGUUAUCCAUCCCGCCGAUGGCAGCACUGCUCGCCAUCCGGCCAAAGUCCCCGACCACCUCCCCUCCUCGGAGGGGGGGCCGGGGCAACAGAACCCACGGCGCCGACGGCGUCAAGGAACACUAUGCCUAACCCGAGGGUGUGGCUGGCUUGCUAGCCACCCCUCGUGUUGUGAUGCUAUCUAAUCCACACGACUCUCGGCAACGGAUAUCUCGGCUCUCGCAUCGAUGAAGAACGUAGCGAAAUGCGAUACCUGGUGUGAAUUGCAGAAUCCCGCGAACCAUCGAGUCUUUGAACGCAAGUUGCGCCCGAGGCCACCCGGCUGAGGGCACGCCUGCCUGGGCGUCACGCCAAUACACGCUCCCACCACCCUCAUUGGGUUGCGGGAUGCGGAUUCUGGCCCUYCGUGCCGUGAGGCGCGGCGGGYCGAAGAUCGGGCUGCCGGCGUAUCGUGCCGGACACAGCGCGUGGUGGACUUCUACUCAGCGCAGUGCAUUUGGCAUGUAGCCGGCGCAGCGGCCCCAAGGACCCAACGAACGGAGCGCGUGUCGCUCCGACC
rnacentral:misc_RNA from 1 species